rnacentral:rRNA from 1 species
CCUACGGGAGGCUGCAGUGGGGAAUAUUGGACAAUGGGGGGAACCCUGAUCCAGCCAUGCCGCGUGUGUGAAGAAGGCCCUCGGGGUGGAAAGCACUUUCAGUGAGGAAGAACGCCUGGUGGUUAAUACCCAUCAGGAAAGACAUCACGCACAGAAGAAGCACCGGCUAACUCCGUGCCAGCAGCCGCGGUAAUACGGAGGGUGCGAGCGUUAAUCGGAAUUACUGGGCGUAAAGCGCGCGUAGGUGGCUUGAUAAGCCGGUUGUGAAAGCCCCGGGCUCAACCUGGGAACGGCAUCCGGAACUGUCAAGCUAGAGUGCAGGAGAGGAAGGUAGAAUUCCCGGUGUAGCGGUGAAAUGCGUAGAGAUCGGGAGGAAUACCAGUGGCGAAGGCGGCCUUCUGGACUGACACUGACACUGAGGUGCGAAAGCGUGGGUAGCAAACAGGAUUAGAUACCCUAGUAGUC